AAGCCAAACUGCUGCUGGGAAUCUAAAGACGACGGGGAGUGGGCGUGUAACCCCCAACAGCAGAGAGACAGGAAACAAGCUGGUGUCCCCAGUGUGAACACCAGAGACAAACCUGUGCCCUACUGGGGUUGGAUGGUAACCAUCAUUCAUCGUCUUAGCCUUCAGACACCUGGCAGACUACUUUUCCAGGGUCAGGCACACAAACGCAAGCCUUACAUGUUUAUCUUUCAAGGGAAAUCACUUUGCACUUAAGUUCCAUGUAUUGCAACCAUGUACCUGCGCAGCAGUGGUUUGUCAUUUUCUGUGAAGAAGGUGAUGGCCUUGCCCUGAUGUCCAGCUCUGCCAGUACGACCUGAGGAACAGCAAACAGAAAAGAUACAGAUAAAACGAGGGAACGGAUGAGCAGACAGGGGGAAAAAGAAAUACAUUAAAGGACACACCACAAGAUUAAAGAAAAAAAAGCACAUCUUCAGCGCUGGUGGGGAAGUCGUAGUUCAGCACGAGGUUGACUCCUUUGAAGUCGAUUCCUCUGGCGAGCAGAGCCGUGCAGAUCAACACCCAAAUCUUACCAGAGCGAAAACUGUUCACUACGUUGUCCCUCUGAAACAGAUGAG